rnacentral:rRNA from 1 species
GGAGUUACAAAGGACGACAUUAGACGAAUCAUCUGGAAAGAUGAAUCAAAGAAGGUAAUAAUCCUGUAGUCGAAAAUGUUGUCUCUCUUGAGUGGAUCCUGAGUACGACGGAGCACGUGAAAUUCCGUCGGAAUCUGGGAGGACCAUCUCCUAAGGCUAAAUACUCUCUAGUGACCGAUAGUGAACCAGUACCGUGAGGGAAAGGUGAAAAGCACCCCGGAAGGGGAGUGAAAUAGAACCUGAAACCGUGUGCUUACAAGUAGUCAGAGCCCGUUAAUGGGUGAUGGCGUGCCUUUUGUAGAAUGAACCGGCGAGUUACGAUUUGAUGCAAGGUUAAGCAGUAAAUGUGGAGCCGUAGCGAAAGCGAGUCUGAAUAGGGCGUUUAGUAUUUGGUCGUAGACCCGAAACCAGGUGAUCUACCCUUGGUCAGGUUGAAGUUCAGGUAACACUGAAUGGAGGACCGAACCGACUUACGUUGAAAAGUGAGCGGAUGAACUGAGGGUAGCGGA